rnacentral:rRNA from 1 species
AUACGUAGGGAGCGAGCGUUGUCCGGAAUUACUGGGUGUAAAGGGUGCGUAGGCGGGACUGCAAGUCAGAUGUGAAAUGCCGGGGCUCAACCCCGGAGCUGCAUUUGAAACUGUGGUUCUUGAGGGAGGUAGAGGAAAGCGGAAUUCCUAGUGUAGCGGUGAAAUGCGUAGAUAUUAGGAGGAACAUCGGGGGCGAAGGCGGCUUACUGGGCCUUUACUGACGCUGAGGCACGAAAGCGUGGGGAGCAAACAGGAUUAGAUACCCUGGUAGUCCACGCUGUAAACGAUGAUGACUAGGUGUGGGGGGACUGAACCCUUCCGUGCCGCAGUUAACACAAUAAGUCAUCCACCUGGGGAGUACGGCCGCAAGGUUGAAACUCAAAUGAAUUGACGGGG